UACAGAGGGUGCAAGCGUUAAUCGGAAUUACUGGGCGUGAAGCGUGCGUAGACGGUUAUGUAAGUCAGAUGUGAAAGCCCCGGGCUCAACCUGGGAAUUGCAUUUGAGACUGCAUAGCUAGGGUGCGGAAGAGGGAAGCGGAAUUUCCGGUGUAGCGGUGAAAUGCGUAGAUAUCGGAAGAACACCCGUGGCGAAGGCGGCUUUCUGGGACGGUACUGACGCUGAGACGCGAAAGCGUGGGGAGCAAACAGG
rnacentral:rRNA from 1 species